GCAAGUCGAGCGGUGAGGAAGAUCUUGCUUCUUUGCUGACCGCGGCGGACGGGUGACUAAUACUUGUGAACUUGCCUUUGGAUGGGGAUAACCGCUGGAAACUGUGGCUAAUACCGUCCAAUGUCUACGGACCAGAGCCCGGGCUCUUCUGACCUUGCACCUAAACAUAGGCCCAAGCGAGAUUAGCUAGUUGGUGGGGUAAAGGCCCACCAAGGCGACGAUCUCUAGCUGUUCUGAGAGGAUGAUCACCCACACUGGGACUGAGACACGGCCCCUACUCCUACGGGAGGCGGGGAGGGGAAUAUUGCACAAUGGGGGAAACCCUGAUGCGCCCAUGCCGCGUGUGUGAAGAAGGCCUUUGGGUUGUAAAGCACUUUCAGAGGUGAGGAAGGCCUUAAUAUUAAUACUCUUGCGACAUUGCCGUUAACCACAGAACCGGCCCGGCUAACUCCGUGC
rnacentral:rRNA from 1 species